rnacentral:rRNA from 1 species
UCCGCAAUGUACGAAAGUGCGACGGGGGGAUCCCAAGUGUUAUGCUUUUUUGUAUGACUUUUCAUUAGUGUAAAAAGCUUUUAGAAUAAGAGCUGGGCAAGACCGGUGCCAGCCGCCGCGGUAACACCGGCAGCUCGAGUGGUAGCUGUUUUUAUUGGGCCUAAAGCGUUCGUAGCCGGUUUGAUAAGUCUUUGGUGAAAGCUUGUAGCUUAACUAUAAGAAUUGCUGGAGAUACUAUUAGACUUGAAGUCGGGAGAGGUUAGAGGUACUACCGGGGUAGGGGUGAAAUCCUAUAAUCCUGGGAGGACCACCUGUGGCGAAGGCGUCUAACUGGAACGAUCUUGACGGUGAGUAACGAAAGCCAGGGGCGCGAACCGGAUUAGAUACCCGGGUAGUCCUGGCCGUAAACGAUGUGGACUUGGUGUUGGAAUGGCUUUGAGUUGUUCCGGUGCCGAAGGGAAGCUGUUAAGUCCACCGCCUGGGAAGUACGGUCGCAAGACUGAAACUUAA